rnacentral:tRNA from 1 species
GGAGGAGUUCCCGAGUGGUCAAAGGGAGCAGACUGUAAAUCUGCCGGCUGACGCCUUCGUAGGUUCGAAUCCUACCUCCUCCACCA